UCUGCCAGCCGGUCUCUGUCACUACAAAGCUGCAGCCGCACUACAACCUGCUCAGCUUUCUGUCACAGAUGUUCAGAACUGUAUGGACAACUCAACCUCUUCUGACAUCAUCAUUUCUUGACCAAUCUUCACCAAAAUGCACAGGACAACUCACUGGAGUCACACAAAGACAUCAUUAGUUUUUGCUGUUGUCCAGUUGACCGUCCCACUGGCCGAUACCCCGUGUUUCAUUGUGGUUG